rnacentral:lncRNA from 1 species
UUUUUUUUUUUUUUUUUUGGUUGGGGUUGCCCGGAGUAAGAUAAGUAGAUAUUCUUUAGGAUGGAAGAGGUUGAUAUUUUAAGGACAAAUUCCACUUUGCACCUUUGAACUUAUAUCACUUUCUCACUUUGUACUCUAAACUUCAAUUUUGAACACUUUACACCCUAAACUCUCAAUUUGAGACACUUUACAUGAUAAAUUCUUAAGUUCGUCAUAUUUAAAUCUAGUUAAUAACAACUUUUAAAAAAUUAACUGCAUAGAGGAUCUAACAAAUCAAUGAUAAUGUGCCAAAAGUAAUCAAAAGGUGCCAAGGUAUUAUAGCAAAAAUAAAACAAUACAUUAUCAUUAAUUUGUUUUAUUUUUUUCACUAUCAUUGAUUUGUAUCAUCUUUUAUCUCAUUAAUUUGCUAAUAAUAUUAAUAAUUGAGAUCAUAUAAAUAAAUGAUAAUGUGCUAAACAUGAGCAACAAAGCUAAGGAAUCGUAGUCGAAACAAAACAGGACAUUGUUGUUAAUUUUUAUCGCUCUUUAUCUCAUUAAUUUUGCGAAUAUAAUAGUUGAUUGGACUUAAAUGGAACAACUAUGAGAGUUUAGGGUGAAAAGUGUCCAAAAUUAAAAUUUAGGGCGCAAAGUGAGAAAGUGAUACAAGUUCAGAGGUGUAAAAUCAAAUUAAUCUUAUUUUUAAUAUCCCUCAUUUUGUAAGUUAUUCUCUUUUGAGUAUCUGUGUGUAUGUGGAAGCUAAACUAAUGUGAGUAUCCAAUUGAUUAAGUUUUUCCUCUAUACAUUCCUUGUGCAGAGUAACAUUUAACAAGAAUCUCAAUUUUAAGGGCCUAUAUACAUUUGGCCUCAUCUUCAAUAGCAAGUGCAAUGGUCAAUUUACUUCCUGCAACAACUUUUGCGGCGGCCUACAUUGUCGGGUAACUAUCAAGGAGAUUAAUGCAAAUUUAAAGAGGACUGAGUUUACAUUCAUCAUGAAAAAGUAAAUGAUUCUAUAUACAAUGGAUGAUCUCAUCCCUUUUACUUUUGAUUGCAUAAUUAUUAUGUUAUCUCAAAGCAACAGAAAUCUAUUAGCACAGUAACUUAUAUAAAUUCUUUUGAACUCUUUUUGUCUAUAAUUAUUUCUUAAAUUUCACUCGAAUACCGUACCUUAAUAUAUGUCAAUUACAGAUUAGAGAAAGUGAAUAUCCAAAGCUUCAGGAGUAUAGCCAAGAUCAUCGGAACAAUCAGCUCUGUUGCUGGAGCCAUAAGCAUGCCAUUACUAAAAGGGCCAAGAACUCUAAGCAUGGAGCUUCAGCUAAUGCAUUCGUUAUUCAAAAAGGGAGAUGAGAUAUGGUUGCUUGGUUGUUUCAUCCCCUUAGCAGGCACAAUUUGCCGGUCAGCUUGGCAACUUUUGCAGGUGAAACCACCCGAUAUUUCUCUAUUGGAAUCACACAAUUUGAGAAUCAGUUAACAGUAUAUCCAUAUUUGUGUUGCAUUUUCUCAACAGGUGCCGGUGUCCAAGAGCUAUCCCGAUCAUUUACCCGUAACAGCAUGCAAGGAUGUGCUUCAUGGUUGCCUUGCAAUCUGCAGCUGUCACGUUUUUCACUGAGAAAGAUUUCACAAGCUUGGAAAUUGCACUCACCUUUGGAAAUUGGAUGCCCUUUAUAUACUGUAAGUUUUGUACUUUAAUUUGAUAGUUUCCAUUUUACAACCAUUUUGUAUCGAAGAUAAAUUUGAAAGAGUUCAUCAAUAUUAUACCUGGCUGGAGCACCAGCUCAAUCUUGGUGCAUUUCGAAACGAGGUCCAAUUUUCUGUGCCAUGCCAUGUUUAAUCCCGUAAACAACGUAACUAUCACCAUGUUCCCUUGUACGUUCAUCCACAAAGAGAUUUACUUAGGAAGGUAUUACCUGCAUUGCAAAAAUUGAUUAAUACCUUUUAUUCCUUAAGACUCCAGUGUUCCGAUUUCUUUAUUCUUUGGAUGAUAAAUAAUUGGGAAAAUGAUCGGUUUCAUCCUUCACAUUUCACAAAAAUAUUUUUUUCGUCUCUCACUUUUAAAACGAAGCAAUUUCAUCCUUAACAUUUUAAAACUGAAGUUCUUACGUUCCUGAACCCAAAUUUCAAUCUGAAUCAAACCACCAAUCAACCUGAUUACAAAUUUUGGGAGUGUAAUUAGUAGAUCAUUUGGUUAACUCAACUUGAUAUUCAUGUAAAAUUUAAUGAACCAAAAAAGAAAAAAGAAAAAAUUAUAACAUAAAAAAGAAAGAUUAAUCUUUCCUACAUUAUCAUUGUAUACACUGACGGUUUUAUGAACCGCCAUAUCAUUUCAAUUUAAAUUUAAACACCAAAUUUUAUAUUUAUGAUACACAUCUAGAUUCGCAAGCGGAUAUACUAACGAUGUAUGAAAAGAUUUACCAAAAAAAAAAUCCCCACUAUUCCAAGACAAAGAAUGACCUUUUAUGUUAUAAUUUUUAUUUUUUUGGUUUAAUAAAUGUCAUGUGAAUAUGAUGAAAUUGACCGAGUGAUCUAUCAAUUCUAUUUCCGAAAUUUAUUACUGGGCUAUUGAAUGAUUUGAUUCAGAUUGAAAAUUAGGUUCAGGGAUGUAAUAGUUUUAAUUUUUAAAUGUCAGGGAUGAAUUUGCUUUAUUUUAAAAGUGAGAGACGAAGAGAAUAUUUUUGCGAAAUGUGAAAGAUGAAACAGGUCAUUUUCGCUAAAUAAUUUAUAUAUUUACUCAUAUUGAAUUUUGAAGCCCUUUAAAUUGAUAACUUAUCGGUUCCAUCGGCCUCGAGGAAUUUAUGGCCUCGUUUUCAUGUACCAAAGAAAUAUCUAAAACUAGCUUAUUUUCUAAUCUAAGACGCAACUUUACCACAAUAAGCUAGAAUUUCAUAAUUACGUAUUACUUUUCCAAACAGCUCUUGGAAAAUAUCUUAUACCGAUUUGCCCAAAAUAUCAGUUCCUAGUUUCAUCUGCUGACCAAGUCGAAUUUGAGUUGAAAAAUACUAUUGUUAGCUUGCGAGUCAGUUCGAACUCGAAUAUAUACAUAUAUAUAUAUAUAUAUUAUUUUUUAUUUUAAUAAUAAAAUAACAUAUAUAUCCCUAAUAUUUUAUUAUUUAUUAAGAAAAAUUAUUAUUUUAUUUAUUUAUUAAAAAUAAAAUAUCUAUUUUUUAUCUUUUUAAACUCGAACUCGAAUUUGAGUUUCGUAAAAUUAUGUUGAGCCUCGACUUGAUUAAGUCGAAGUUGUACUCCACGAGUCACCCCUAACUUGGCCUAUACAUUAUGGAGGAAAAGGAAUCUUAGAACAUUUCAAUUGAUUCUUUAUGAAAUUCUUGAGAUAUGUUCGUCAUGCCAAUAGCUGGAUGGAGGAGAAUUCCAAAGACUCGAGAGAAUUGGGAGCUGACUUUACAUUGGAACUUUUCAAUGCAAAUUUUCUGUUGAUUGUAUAGAAUAUAGUGAUUGUGAUCAGUUUUAUUUUCUUUGCUUAGUUGUAUAGAUUCCAGUACUAUGUGGUGACUGUGCAGGUGUCUAUAUUUAACUUUUAUUUUUCUUUGCAUAUUUCUCAAAGCUAAGUAAGUACUAAAUGAUUGUUUUGAGAUGAAACAGUAGAAGGGGAUGGUUGAAAGCCACAUUACACCAACAACAGCACUAACAAAAUUGAGCUACUCUACCAUUCAGUCUAGCCAGCUUUUGAAAUUAAAAAAAAAAAAAAAAAAAAGAAGUCAUCAUAAGAAAGGCCAAAUAUAUUGACUGGCAGGGAACAUUCAAUUGACUCUUGGGUGAUGGUAAUUACUUAUUUCCAUCAAAAAGCAAAAAUUACAUGUACGAUCCCAACCAACAAAACCCACCAACAAUGGUAGGUAUGGAGAGGAGUGAACGACGAAAACCCAGAGAUGAUGGGUCUUUACUCUUUACAGCUUUUCAUUGUUGGUCCUGCAAAUAAUUGGAGAGACAGAAAGGGACGUCGACUUCCAUUAACUCAAAAGGAUAAUUUGAAAUCUGACCCCAGUGUCCGGUGGGCUAUUGCAAAGUCUGGUGGUGAAAGAAGAAAAAAAAAAUCCUUCACCACACAAUUGGGGAUAAAAUCAAUAAGAUGAGAUAGAAGCAAAUGAAUGCAUAAUCAGACUCAGAAACCCAAGGACAAGUGCGAUGCAUCCUAAUCCACCUGACAACCUCAAUUGCCUAGCCCUUAAUAAUAUUUCUGCCACAUGGUAGAACUUUUGGAGUGAUCUGGAUUUUGGUCAAAUUGAAUUUAGCAUCUAAAUUAGGGCUGUCAACGGGCCGGGUCCGAGCCAGAAUUCAUUAUUCCGAACCCGGAUUCGAUCCGUUUACCCGAUGGGUCUUUUAUUCUAUGUUCCGGAUCCGGAUCCGGCAGGUCCCGGAUCCGGAUCGGGUUUACCCGAACAAAUUUAGCAAAAUUUAUAAUUUCUAAUAAAAAUGAGAAAAAAAUAUAUUUAUAAACUAAUUUCUAACUAAUGCAAAGAAAAAACCAAAUAAGAAAAGAAAUCAAAUUGACUUUACUCAAAUACAUCACCCUAAUCAAAUUAUAUUGAUAAAUAUAUAUUUUUUAAAUUAUUAAUUCAUUUAUAUCCGGAUCCGGGUCUAAUACAGGUCGGAAUACUAUAUUCCGUAUCCGACCCGUUUUUUUGUUUGACAAAACGAAUCCGAAUCCGGGAAACGGAAUUAAAUACCUACCUAUACCUGCAAUAAUUUCGCGAAUCCAGGUCUAGAUCCGACCUUUGACAGGCCUAAUCUAAAUCACAAUAGCGUAGACAAUUAACAAACUGCAUAGGACUCAAACUGGAGCCCGCCACAAAAGAAAUCAAAGCUUUAAGCAAAGAGAGGAAUAAGGGCAUAUCUAAAUCAAUGAUUGUUGGCCACUAUAAAAAAACAGUGAGGAGCAACUUACCCUUUUUUUGCAGGUAAUCAAGCAGAAAAAUUUUUUAUUUCUUAAUUAGAAGAAAAGCACCAGAAAACGUGGCAUUAAGAACAGGAAGUCUUUCCUGCAUUAAAGAGAGAAAGAAUGGACAAAAAUCCGACAAAUUUUGAAGGCCAAAACUUUAGAGAUCAAACUCAAGUACGCAGAGCAGAACCUGUUCAGAAGCAGAUCUGAAAAUGGCAGGGAAAUCUGCCAAUGUUUUUGUCAAAGACUGAAAAGUCUAUAUAGAAACUAAGCAUUAACGUAGGAAAUCAAUCAUCCAACAUGGUCUGAAUGAGCAAAAUCAAGCUAUACAUAGAAGCAACUAACAAAUAGGUAGGAAGUUGUAUUGCAUACAUUAUUAGAAAACCAGUUUCAAUCCAAACUCUAAUAUCUACUCAGAUAUGAGCUUGAUCGCUCAAGGGUAGCGCUUCCAUGCAUUAUCCUCCCUGUUGUUUCUGAAUGCGCAGCAUCCUAUAGAGUAUACUAUGAUGAGGAAGACCAGCACUAUAAUAUUCAGAAUGGCCUCCUUCUUCCAAUCACUCUUGAUAUUGUCCAGCAGACCAGCCUUGCAUGAUUGGCAGUUGUAGCAUAGAACUUUCUGAUCAUUACUCCAAGCCGUGCAGUCUGGAUUAGUAGACCCUGCUGUUCCUGUCCAGUUGGUUGGGGUGACAUAGGUGAAUUUGCACUCAUCUGGUGGCUUGCAGCAUCCAGACUGGCAAGAGUAAAUGAACAGAGAAUGAGAGAGACAACAUAAAAACGAUUUAACUGCAAAUGAACUAAUUUCAAUCUAGUCAUAUAUCUGUGAAGAACCUUUCCAAGACAUCGAGUUUAGGCACAGAAGCUGAAAAUUUUACAGAUUCUUUCACAGAAAUUUGAGGCGUGCAACUAGUACAUCAACCAGGAGACGAUUCUCAAAAUCACAAAAGGAACAUCUUAGUUUAUAACAACCUAGCAGUUCAACAAUGUGUCAAAUGUAUUAAAAACAUGCUUCCAAUUCAAAAAUGGAAAAUGCAAUCAAUCCAAAGCAGGACAAUUUAUGAUUUUACAGCAACAAGUUGAAUGCCAUUAUUCUCCUCUGGAGAUACUUGUUUGAACAUGUAUAAUAGCAAAACAAAAAUUGACAGAAUAAGCAAUAGGGUCAAGUAAAUUGAUAUAUCAUUAUUCUUAAAGGCACCACUUUAUGCACCACACCACUUUUUGCAACAAGAAAUAUAUACAAGCAGCAUCACCAAUCUGUCUCAGACAAAAAGCAGAACAUUUUAAGUCGAGAUUCUAGUCAAGUCUCUCAACUUUAGGAAACUACUCAAUAACCAUCAUUCAAAUAUAACAGAUCCAUGGCAGUUAGUGAUUCCAAGUGAAGAUCAAUACCCUUUCUCAAGAAACUUAAAAAAGUAAAAUUACUAUACCAACAAGAACAAACUACUGACACACAGUCCCAGCCCCUAAAGAUAUCUUCCAAUUGAGUAUCCAGAUCUAGAGCGAGGCAGCAAAAACAGAAAACCCCUUCUCCCCUCAAGUGAAAAACUCAAGUUUUAGCUCAAAAAGAAAAAAGAAUGACAACCAUGCAGGUAUGGAGAGCAACAAAAGAUGCAAUACUUAUGAAUCUGUACAUACCUGAAGAGCAGAAAGCGUUUCCUUGUUAAAUUGUCCUAAAGGAGUGGCACCUUGUUCAAUCAGGUGCUUGCAGAUCUGUGAGUCCUGAAGACAACUUCUAAUCCUGGGCCAAUUUUUGUUCACCCUUUUCUGCAACCAAGUGUUGUAAUCCCCAAGCCUGUACUCCUUAUACCCCUUACCUGCAAGGGCCUCACCAGCACCUUUAUUUGUAACCACAAACGCAAAGAUUGUGAAGCAAAAGAGGAGCACAAUCAACAGAAACAUGACCAAAAGGUACACCCAAAGAAGCCAUGAAACUCUGCAACAUGAUCCAAUGAGUCCUGCCAAUGAAACCAACAGCAGAAACGCCCCCAAUACUAUCACUGGCUUUUCAAGAAAACGUUCACAUUCAGUAUUGGACUGCUUUGCUAGCCAAAUCCCACCUGCAAUUAUUGGGAUUGACAACAACAGCGUCAGAAAAUUCAGUAUCCCAAGCAAACUGUUGCUGCAACGUGGCAUUUUCUCUGGUAUUCUUGAAAACGAACCAAAAAUAUCAGUAACUUCUCAAGAAGCCAAGAAGCAAAAGGGGUGAUUAAACUCCAAUAGUUAUGUGCUUCUUAAUGGUGAACGAACCUAGUUAACGGUGAACAGUUUUACCAGUUUUAUAGUAGGAUCCGAUGGAAAAUUGAUCUGGGUUGGAGCUAAGAAAGCGAGAAUCUGGAAAAUAAAAAGGAAGAUAUGAUGAAUGGAACAAAGGGUAAGGGUGGUUAUAUAAUACUGGUGAAGACGGGCCGUUUAAUUGCAUUCUUAGUCCUCUAAGUUAUCAUUCUAGCCCAUGUAUCACGCAGUACCCUAUUGCGUGUAAUAGAUUCAUUAGCAUUCAUUUUACUAUAUAUAUGAUGAUUGAAUUAACUAAGAUUUAAUUUCACAUAAAUUUAUGUCAUCUUUCAUAAAUUGAUUCUAAUUUUUACUUUUUGUUUGCAUAUUUUUUUGUUUGUAGAGUCAAAGAACAUUUUGUGUAAAUUAUUAGUAGUACAACUUUUUGUUUGGUCAAAAGAAUUUAGAUGGAUUAGUCUUGACUCAAAUGGAGUAUCUAUAUUAGCAGGAGCGAAUGAUCAAUUGUGAUUAAUUAUUAUGCAAUCUACACAAGCAUAUAUAUAUAUAUAUAUAUAUGUUCACAAUCAAUAAAAAAAUUAAUCCAAUUUAGAUGCUUACACAUAUUUAAGAGUAGGAAGGAAGGAAGUGGUAUGGUAUCUCUCUAAUUCAAAGCUGAAAGAUGUAGUCCCCUGUGUUUCAAUAGCUACAAUUGUUUGUAGGUUUAAAUUGACAAAAAUGGAGAAGAUGAGAGACUAAGGUAAGAAAACCCAAAAUGUUGGGGUCCCAAAAUCUGUAUGGGGAAAUGUGAAACUCGUGGAGGUUGAGCUGGUCUGGAAUUUGCUAAGGAGUUUCGGAGACGUGUGGCCGUUUCCGAAAAAAUUUCAGCGUCAAGCGAUAAGCCCAGUGCGCCACGUGUGACACGUCGUACUCGCCGUGUGAAUUAAUUGGACAAUCGCAACAAGGAAUCGAAACGGAUGGGAAAGCGUGGGACCAGACUAGCAAUGCCAAAAAGUGUUUUUCUUUUUCUUUAUCUUUUUUGAGCCCAUUAGAAGCCAAAAAUGUAACAAUAAAAAGUUUUGACGCUAUGGUAGACUUGAUCGUUUUGGCUAGUAACUUAUCUUGAAGGAUGAUGUGACUUUUGAUCAAGAACAGGAACAUUAGAAGAUUUCCAAAAUCUUUAAUUUUAAAUGUCCCUCCCCUUUUACCCCAACCAUUAUUGUCUCGAUGGAAGAUGAUUGAAAAAUACUCUUGUUACGAGUGUUUGGAUUAAAAAAAAGAAGAAGAAGAAGUCUUUAUGAUGUGAUGUAUUUUAUGAUUAAAAAAUGGUUAGAAAGAUUUUUUUUUAGAAAAAAAAAAAAGAAAAACAAUGUUUAUUAUGCAUAGGAUUGAAAAAUAAACCAAAUUACAUGAUAUUUGAAUCAAAUUUGACUUAUUAAGAACUCAUUCAAAUUUGGAUCGCCAACUAGUCAAGUUAAGAUUGAACAGCAUUUUAUAUUCGCCAACAUUUAAAUUCGAUAAAAAAAUUAGUUCAAACUCGAUUUGGCAAAAUAAAUAAGUCAAAUUUGCAUAAAAUUUUAAAUUCAUUAAAAUAAUCAAACAAACUUGAAUACUAGGGUGUUCAGUUUGAUUAGACUAGUUUACACCCCUAAUUAUGCAUGUGAAAAAAAUCUUUUUUUUUUUUUUUGCAAAAAAAGAAUAUAUCCAAAAUCUUCUGGUCACUUAAUCUUUGAGACUAAUAUUCAAUGCUGACUGACUCAAUGCAAUUUAUGAUACAAAUUCAAAUAUCCACUUCAUUUUUUUUUUAAAAAAAGGAGUCUUUAUACUUUAAUUGCCUAAUACCUUCUUGAUUGGAUUAAUUUUGGUCUCACUUAGAUUGCAAUUUUUAAAAUUUUUGAAGAAAAAAAAAUAUAUAUAUAUUCUAACAUUGUGAUGUACGAGAUAAAAAGGUAAUUUAAAAUUAUGUCAAACAAAUAUUCCUAGUCAUUGGAAGUUGAUUUUAAAUAGGAGAGAUUCUACAAGAUCACACACACAAGUUAAAUUUAGCAUUAAAUGUGAAAUAAGUGAUGUUAAAUUUCUAUAAUUUCACAACUUUAAAAUUUCAACUGCUAUUAUCAUUAAGGAAUAGAAAUUGAAGAAAUGGUUCCACGAAGGGACCAUACAAUUUCCCAAAGAUUAGUAUCAAAGUAGGUCCUCCAAAAGAAAGAAAAAGAAAUUGUUUAAAGAAGAAAUAAUUGUUUGUAGCCAUAUAUAUAUAUAUAUUUUUUCUUGUUUUUCUCCUAUUUGAGAAAUUGGACGCCGACUUAUAACUUGAAAUCAGGCGAGUCCCGCGCGCCGUGUCCAUCGUUUAGUAAUAAGUACUAUAAUAAAUGAGUAUGAUGAGCUUACUUGGAAUAUUCCAAAGGCAGAGGCAGAGGAUGAUAGUUACUUAAAGCCAAUCAACUCUCUUUCGUCCGUUUGUUUACUCAAAUUCCUUAUCACACGUUAAGAGGCUUCUUUAUAGUCUCGGGGAGUUAGCUUCACAAUCUUGCUGCCAUCCAAACCUUUUGCCCCUUUUUUUUAUUUGUAAAUCUGUUCUCGGAAUUUUCGUACCAACCCUUUCUUUCUUUCUUGGAGCAUUGAGCAGAUACACCAAAAAGAGUGAGUUGUAAGUAAGUAAUGGUUGAAUUGACCAACACAUGUCGCUUUUGCUUAAACCUGAACCAUCAAUAACGCGUAAUUUAAACCAAACUUUUUAAUACUAAUAAUAAUAAUAGACUGAGCCCUUCUUCAUUUUUAGUCCAUUUUAAGAAAUAUUUUAAUACUUAGCUUCAUAAAUCCUCAACUAAUGUAAAUCAAUAUAAGCAUCAUGGACCGAUUCAAAGGAAGAUAGGAAAUUUCCCUUUUUAUUUUUAUUAUUAUUAUUUCCUCAAAUUGGUUGACGGAUAUAAGAAUUACUAAAUAAUAUUUUAUUGUUCAUUAUGUGUGUCAGACGUUUUAGCCAAUUAAAAAGGCAUAAGUUAUUUAUUAUCCCUAAUUUUGGGGUCAACAAUCAAAAAAAAAAUAAAUAAAUAAAUAUAUAUAUAUAUAUAUAUAUAUGUGUGUGUGUGUGUGUGAUUGCACUUUGUUUGUACUGAAUAUAAUAAUUGCAGCAACGGUUACGUGUUUUUUAUGAAUGAAUCAGUACUUGCAACACAAGCACGCUUCUCAAGUUUACAGUUGUUGUACAUUGGAAAUAAAUACACUACCUUAUUGAUCCAUAACGCUGAAACAAAAACCCACAGAUCAGCAUCAGACAAAAGACCAUGCAAAACUCAGCUCCCAAUGCAGAGACAUGAAGACCUAAAGCAGUUUCAAAAUCAAAGGGGCCCUGGGAAAGUCCCAUUCUCCCUCUGCUCGUUCCAUCUCUCAACCUGUAGAAAUGUAGCAGAAACUAGUUAGAAUGCAUUCAAAACUAUGGUAAAAUGGUAGAAUGUUAUCAUCCUAUUGCAUAUGGUAAAAUAGUAGUCAAAGACGUUUAUAUAAUAUAAUAAACAUAAAAAGUGGGAACGCUGGAAAGCCAAUAAAAGAUUUGGUGUUGUACCACUUGGUAAUUCAAAAAGGCCAUCCCCAUCAGCCAUUUAAUAUAUCUCCCUCAAACAACUAGAGGUUUUCCAUACGCCAUUACUAGAGGUGUCAAGAAGAUAAAACGGGCUGCACAGAAAUUCACAUGAGAGUUGCAAGCAACUUCAAGCUCACAAUCCAAAACUUACUCCGAAAGGAACUAAAACAGAUAGUCAAACAUAAAAGAAAAACCAUAGCUGUUUUUGUUAAUAACGAUUAAGUUUUAACUAUGAUGUCAUGUCACCACCCAAUUCCCGUGUAACAUAAAGGAGCAAUAGUUUCCAAUUGCAAUGCCAUCUCAAGCAGAAUCACACAUGAAAUGGGACUUUUUAUGAGGACAACAGUGCUCAUAUCUGACCUUUUGAAGAGGACUGCUGUCCCCCAAGCCUAUGACAAUCAAUACCAACAUUCAACAGGUAAAAGCAAUUCUACAUAUAUAUAUAUAUAUAUAUAUAUACUUACUUACCCAUUCACCAGGACAGAGGGACCUAUAGUACUUGGCAAAUUUUUCACAUUCUCCAGAAUCAUCACCCUUGGCAGCCAAGCACCUGAAAUCCAAAAAAGUGUUGAAUCUGUGUAAACCAAAUCAUUAUGAUAGACCAACAAAAGCUUUACUGUGCUCUAAAGAGAAAACCAGGCAAGAGUAAAACCUAUAUCAAUUACAUAUUCAACCGAUAGAAAAUCAUCUUGAGUACCAAGAUAAAUAUUUCUGUACUCACUCUUUUCUUUUUCCCCCCCAAACAUCAAACCCUAUUCAUGAGCUUCUAGAUUUAAAAUGUUAGGGAGUAGUAAUCUAGUCAAGUAAAAAUAUUUUAACUUAAUCAGGCACUUUCAAAAGAUAUUUGCCUAAAGGUUUCAGCCUACACCUUCUUAACAAACACAAAACUAACUUAAGAUUUCUCUUUCAACAACUGAGGGCUAGAAUCAAAACUACACAUUACAAUACUUAUAAGAACAAUCAACUGGCUUAAGAUGAGUACCAAGUUAUGAUGCGAUUUCUGUUUGCCACCUUUAAUCUAACAAAAAAAAAAAAAAAAAUCACCCAUGCAUUUGAAAAAAACUUCUACCAUUGCCGAAUUUUGAAUUUGGCUAACUAAACCAACAUAGGGGCAUUAAUACCGUCUCAAGACACCUAAAAUGCAAGAUAAGUUCAUCAAUCAAAACUACGUAAGUUCAAUGGUUUUACCGGAGUUGUUCCAUGACACAGAAAAAAAAUUGGUUUCUAUGACACACUAUUAAGCAAUCAACAGCCACUCAUAUGUAACAAAGUCCAAUGACCAGAAAAGCCUUAUGCAGCCACAACUGACAGAGCAUGUCCUUUUAAGAUAAUUGGUUUUAUGGCAUAUUAUUCAACAACCACUGGUGUGUAACUAGUCCAAUACCCAGAGAUGCCUCAUGCAGCCAAAACUGAUAGACCAUUACCUGUGGAACUCAAUGUAGCGUGUGAAACAGUGUCUAGUUUGAUUAGUUGUUGGGAAUCGGAAGUCAGCUGGUGCAGUCUUCAGUUCAAUCUGACAAUAUUAGCAUACAAAUAUUACUAAGAAGAGUGUAAGACAACUGUUCAACACUAAAUUGCGUCUUCCGCUUUCUCAUCAUAAAUCACACACUUAAUUCACUACAUAAAAUGAAAAGGAAAACUAUCAAAAGUUCAGAGAAGCAAACAUUGUCACUUUAGAAAAAAGGUGAACAAGAAAAGUAUUUUAACAAGUUACUUAAUAGUUAAAAUAUUGAAUAAGCAUGUUUCCACUUAAGACGGCGUUCUCCUCCAUCAUGCUUAGAUUUCAUUGUAAUAUUUCCCAAGACAUCAUAUCCUACCAGAAUUCCAAUAGUUUCGAGGCAGGAGACAUCCACAGCAAGAAUACAUAGUUUUGACCCGAUUGUAAUUAUGAGCUAAAUCAUGCUUUGCAUGCUAAGAAGCUCUAGCCUAGGCACAGAUAAAACAUCUUUUCUCAGAAUUAAAAUUUCAACACAUCAUAAUCAUGAGAUAGAAGACAUUAAGCGUGUUCAGAACUAAGGCUUUCAACAAAACUGGAUGCACUUCCAUGCUUUUUUGAAUAAGAAUGUCCAAUUGAUAAAGAAAGAAUUUUUUGAACAGGCAACUUUCAAAGAAUGAAUCAAUAAAAUCACAACCUCAAGAAAACCUAAUUCCUGCAUAUGACAGUUCUAUUCUGAAAUCAAAAAGAAGGAAAAAAAAUUCACUCUUGAGGCUAAAGGACAGGCCCUCAGGCAUUAAAGGUCAGACGAAAGAAAAAUUGUUUGUGUCUAUUGUGGCAAAUGAAAAAUACUUUAGCAGCAGACCUCACACACUCUGACAUGAGAUAAGCACCUCACACACUGUGAAAUGAGAUACUAUUUGGCCCAAAGGACUAGAAAUAAAAGUGCAUUUACACAAAGGGCCAGCUAUGGCUCCCUUUAGCUGUCAACAAGACUAGAUAAAGAAAACAUUUUACAAUUGAGUCAAGAAAAGUAAACCACAAUUUACGUUCUCUUUCUAUAAACAACUAUUUGGCUAAAAAAAAUUAACAAAUAUAAACCACAACCAACAUGCUCUAUGAUGAGCAACCAUUUGGCCAAAUAAUUAAUAAGUAGACCAUCUGGAAAUGAAUAAAGCCUAGGUAUCGGAACCAGUAACUUAAAAGAGCAGGCAAGGAUAUAGAGAUCCCCAGAGUAAUAUUCCAAGAAGGUAGAUUUCUUCUCUCAGUCUGUACUAAAGAAGAAAGUCUACUUCAAUCCUUAUAUCACCAUGAAAAGAGAAGGGGGAGUCAACACCAAACUAUGUCACCUUAUAGGGAUUUUAGGCUGGAUUUUGAAUUUUAAUCUGCUUAGUAUCCUCAUAGUCAUGAGAGAACUUAAACUAUGAAAGCUCUUGCUUGGCUAUUGGAGAAAGUGGGAAAGAAGGCAUUCUGUCUCUUGGUAUGGAACCCCACAUUCACCUGUAAUCUGAAACAUUUUCAAGUAUGACAAUUAAAAUACAGAGCUUUGAGAGCAUAGAGAACCAAUAUGGGAUUAGCUACAACAACCCAAUUUUCCAUCAGCAUUAGGAGUACACAAUUCUUCCCUUCAUGUAUGGAUACUCAUAAGAAAAUCUUCCUGACUUGAUAUAUUAUACAGAUGGAACAUUGGGGGCACCCGUGGAUGGGGUUUUCUUGUUUUUUUCGUUGGGGGGGAGCACAAAGAAAAGAAGGAAAGAAAUAUUAAAAAGUUUACAAAGAGAAAGAAGGAAAACAAGUCUUUUAGUAAUUUCCCAUAUCAUAUCUCAAAUUCCAAACAUCCACGUAGCAGGACAUUUCCCUUUCCUCAAUAAAUUUACUAUCAAAGGAAACCCAAACUAAAUAAAGGCACAAACUUUUCUCUAAGAAAAACAUAAAAGCAAAUGUGCACAACAUCCAACUAACUCUAUGGUUUUGUUAUAAAAACAACUCCAUCAUCCUUUCAUACAGCUGCUUGCUUUCAACAAGAGUCCGUUCAGAUUUGAUAGCAAUGUAUUUCUUUACAAAUACUUUGCUUUUAGGCCUCACUAGGUUUAAACUUUUCAGAAAAGCUAUACCAACAAUCACUUUUUAAUACCUCUCAAUAUCAGCAAAAUUCAGUACAUUUCACGUUAAAAGAAAGCACUGCACCUUUUCUGAAGCUGUCUAUUUAUACUUCCCCUACAAUCAUUGGAAAUUUAUUCUACCAUGAAAUUAAACCCCUAGCACUCCAAAAUGGUUCUUGACAACAAGAAAUUUGGGCUCAUCUCUCACCAAGGCUUGACAAGGCACAAUAUGGCAAUCCAAUCCCAAAAAUUCCAACUUUCUCGAAAAAACUAAAUAAAAAUCCACUGCUUGACGUAAUACUGGAUAUUGAAAGAUAACACUUCAACAAGAACAUCUACUGAAUAUCUUUCCAACAAGAAGCUGAAAACCCACGAUCAUAUAUUGCAUAAAAGCUAACAUCUUGUUGAAAUUCCUAACCACACCCAUCUUAGAAGCAACUAUACCAUAGCUGCAACUUUGCCCCCUGGUAGGCAUGAAUGCCAACCAUCAUUUGCUUUUCCUCUUUAAUUCUGAACCAUAUAAGUUCUAUAACUAGAUUCAAAACCAAUUUCUUCUGUGUUAAAACUGAAUGCCAACACCGCACUCUUUUAGUUCCCAAUUUAAAAUACCCAUUAACCAAUGCCUUUUACUGAUUAAUUCAACCAUAAAUCUCCAUAAAAUCAUUCAUUUCUUGGAUCUCUUGCACAUUGUUUUAUACUAGCUUUUCACCCCGAAUUUCCUUCACACUUAAACCAUAUUUUCACAAUGUUCUGCCAAUAAAAUACAUGCAAAGAUAACAGAAAAUACAUUGACUGAGUGGGAUAUAUAUACAUAACCACGUUGUAUGAGUCCAUUGUGUACAGAACCGGCAAUUGAAUCAAAUCAUUAACAGAUCACAUAAAAAGGAUAAUGUACAUAAUCUCAUCAGCAAUCAAUUAAGACGAAAUUGAAACCACAAUAAAACAAAGGUAGAAAAUCAUAGACUAAAAUCCCUUAAAAAUUAAUGGAUUAAUUUCAUUAAUUUCAGUUUACCUCAGCCAUUUGACGAGACGGGAUCGAUCGAAAAUGAUGUGAAAAUGAGACAGAGCACUUUCUUCUGGUCGGCGGGAGAGAGUGUUGGAAACUAAAAUUGUUCACGUUUUGUUUCAGUGAUUAGUAGUUGUAGAAUUAGCUUAGAUUAGUUUGCAACCCUUAAUAUUUUCUUAGUUUUUACUGUUCACCCUUCACCUUUUAGUUUUUGACACAUAGCCCCCAACUGUCUUACAAAAGCUCUGGUAAAAAUUUUUUUUUUUUUCCCAAAAUAAGAUUACAUAUACCUUACAACUGCAAGAUCAGUACAACAAAUUAGUUGUCAUUUAAUUUAGAGAAAUGCCAAACUAGAAAUAGAGCAAUCUCAUAAUUAACUUGUAUACAACUUAUACACUUAAUUUAAUUUAAUGGAAAAGGCAUUCUUCAUGCGUUUGUUCAAGAAAAGUAAAUCAUUAGGGAAAAGAGCAAAAAGAAAAUGAGAAGGCAAAGGUGAUUUAUGCAUUAUUCCUUGGUUGGCAGUUUUUUUUUUUUUUUAAGUCACAAGUAUAUAAGUAGAAUUUUCAAAACUAUGACAAACGGGUCAUAUUGAAUCUCUUGCUCCCAAUUUAUGCAUAGGAAAAUAGUUCUUGAAAUACAGUUAGCUCCAAAUAUAGUAGGGACUAAUGAGCGCUGAUUUUAAAUGUAAGGGAAUAAGUGGUUAAGAAAAAUUAAGACUACGCGUGGGUAAAAAUUGAAGAUAUAUUAGAAGUAUCAACCAAACGUGUUUAUUUUGCAUGUUGGAGAUACACAACUCUAGACUUUUUAGCCAAUUUCCUAAUGUGUGGAUUUUUUGGUAUGAAGUUAUAAGGAUGGGAAAAUUUGGAGAUUAGUUAUUGUUUUUGAUAAUUGAUGAACAACAAAAAGGUAAAAGAGUGAUAAACCACAUAAAUAUGAGGAAAUUAUAAUGGUAAACGCAAAAUUAGGAGGAAAACUUAUAAUUCAGCUUUCUCUGAUCAAUUAACUGUCUAUUUUAGGUAGCAUAUCUUUUAUUCUUGCUCCCACAAAAAAAAAAAUUUUUUGUUGUAGAAUAGCUCUAAUUCUCAUUACUUAAAUCUUGCCAAAUCCCUAUAACACAUAUAUUUAAAAUAUCAUACCUCUAUACUUUUUCUCAUAAGUUGUAAUGAUAUACCUCUUCGAGUAUUCCUAUCUUCCACAUGUUUAGGUGAAAUUUCUCUGAUAGGCUUCGGCUUUCCCCGUUUAAUAGGUCUCCAUAUUUAAGAGGAAGUUUGGGUUUUAUGUUGUUAGAAUUUCAAUUUUUGCUAUUCAUUCUCUUAAAAGAACUUAAAUAACCUAUUAACGAUAAUUUUUAAUGCUUUUAGUUUACAAGAAGAUGAUAGCUAACAAGUAGCAGCAUGUUCUUCAACUAAUGAUCAAAUUACGAGACAGUGAUACUUUAUUACAAGGUACUACUACAUAAGUAGAUGUGUUAUUGCUGUUUCUAAAAAUUGAUAUGGAGUUCAGGUUAGUGAAACCCUGUACGUCUGUCCACCGAUGCAAAAGUUCAAAGGUGUCUCUAAACCAGAGUUUUCUUUUGUACACUCUCUCUUUUUUCUUCUGAUCAAUAAAAGCAUGAAAGUUUACGUGUAAAAAAAAAGUUUUUAUUACAUGUCAAAUAUCUUUAUGAUGAGUAAACCCGACAUGCUUAUUUACUCAUCCCCAAACUACCAAUCCUAAAAUGUCUCAACCCCCGAAAAAUUGCAGUUGAAUUCGCAUCACCUAAAAAAUAGUAGACAGCCUCUUUCGUGCACGUUGACUGACUAAGUAAAAUGCUAAAAGAGAGAGAAAAGGAAGAAAUGUUCAACAGAGUCCAGUAAUAAUACUUCAUAAAACCACUUUCAUUGAUUUGUAAACCAUCUUGGAAAGACCAUUGUUGUUCCAUACUGCAUAUUUGCUCAUGGCUGAGAAUUCUGCUCCCCCAGAAGAAGUUGUAGUGCCUGUUCCAGAAGAAAAAAAUGAAGCCAAAGAAAAAGAAGUCGCAGUGACUAUUCCUGAAGCAAAAAAUGAAGCCGAAGAAAAAGAAGUUGCAGUGCUUAUUUCUGAAGCAAAAAAUGAAGCCAAAGAAAAAGAAGCUAAAGAAAUCCCUGAUGAUACUACCACCACUGCUGCUGCUGCCACUACUAAUACUAGUGUGGCAGCUAAAACAGAUAAAAUGAAGAUUAUUGUGCUUUCAUUAACCGUACUUUCAUUUCUUCUUUCCUUCCCAAUCCUCUUUUCAAUCGCUUGGUUGCUAUACUUGAGACAAUAUGACUGUGAAAACCUUCUUGACUUGCCAAAGUUACAACUUGUGAUUGUCAUUGGUCUAGCAAUUGUCUUCUUUGUGAGCAACUUUGUAGUGAAAUUUGGAAGCCGGUUUCCUAUGCUUGGACUUCUCUUAGUUGUGGUGCCACUGAUUUUGAUGCUGAUUGUUGGUCUUGGACUUGAGGGUGCUUUUGACAUGGAAGCUCGUACCAUACCCGGUACUCCUAGAUGGCUUGAGUUCAGGGUGGAUAAUGACUACAAUUGGAAGGAUAUCAAAUCCUGCUUGUAUGCUACAACGACAUGUAGAGAGUUGGCGUUAAGGUCUUAUACCACCAAAUCCUUUGACUUCACAGCAAGCAAAUUAUCAUCGAUUGAGGUACUAAGCUAAUAAAAAUGUCACAUGAAAUAGUAUACGUGUGCUUGAGUAGACAUUACAGACAAAGAAUUUUUUUGCUGGUCGAAUAUAUAUAUAGGUAUAUGUAAAAUAUAAAUCACUAGUUUUGCAUAUGGCAUAUCCUAAAAACAUGUUGAAUGCUAUUGGCUUAGUAUUGGCUUAGUAUUCUACAUUAGCAGAAUACUUCUUUUUCAAUGGUUCAUACACAUGUUAUUAGGCAGUGUUUGAUACUUUAAUUCAACCAACAACUUAAAAAAAAAAAAAAUUAUGAUCGAAUUUUUUUCAAUAAAUAGUGUGCUUAGUUUGAGUGAUUUGUGUUUUCUUUGGUCAUAUCACUUCUACAAUUGCACCUCUAUUUACAUUUUACAUUUACUCACUGGACUAUUUUUUACAUUGGCGCAAUUGUCUAGUCUGGUUGUUGUCUGCCGCCAACAAGCUGUGGAAUGGAAUACGUGAAUGCCACAUUCUGGAGGAAAGAAGAUUCAACACUGGAUUCGUCUAACCCAUUGGAAAGGGAUUGUGAUCUAUGGAAGAAUGAUGAAACCAUUUUGUGCUACAACUGCCAAGCCUGUAAAGAUGGAUUUCUCAAACCAUUACUUGGUAAAUGGCAGAACAUUGGGACCUUCCUCAUUGUCAUGGCUGCUCUGCUUUCAGCCUCGCAUCUGUUGCUUUUUAUUUCUACAAUGUUGGAGCAACUUCGAGGAUACCAUAAAAGCAAAUUAAUCGCACUUUCAUUUUAACUGACUAAGAGUUAUUAGAUGAGGUUUUGGAUUUGCAAGCUAUUUCAUCCUUUGUUCUUGACUUUGUUGUACGUCUUUUUCGUGUAUAAUCGGGAACAUCUUUGAUGCUAUGGUCAUCCUCUGACAAAAGCAGAAGUUACCAUUUUUUUCAUGCUAUCAAGCUCUUCUUUGAUUGUCAUAUGGGCAAAAGUAUGUUUUGGUUUAUAUACCACGAAUUUUUAAGGAGUAGUAAGUUGUCAUUUCUGGAACUCCAAAAUCUUGGUUUCAUCAGGCAAAUCACACUGACUAAUUAGGAGUGGUCAGUUAUAAAACCUCCACCAUUAGGUGCCAAUGCGACAAAUUUGUUUUAUCAUACACAAGCCAAUUAUCCUUAUUAAGCUUUACCAAAACCAAAACUCUCCACCUCCCAUCCUGAAUUCAUGCACGGUGCAGACUAGGAUGAAACAAGAUGCAAGGAAAACCACAGGAUUGAAGAGACUGCAUCUCUUCUGAGUAUUCAAUGACAUGAAUAUCAGCAUCCAUGGGCGUCUCUUGAUUGAUAAGCACUUUCUUCAAGGUGAUUAAUAUAUUCCUUGCUAUUUUCCAAUCCCAAACCUUAUUAUGCCCCAACCUAACUCCAAGAGAGGGAGACCAAGCGGGAGAAUAGAAGGGAGGAGACAUAAGUCAAAAUAAACUACACAAACAUAUCUGGACUGCAAAAGGACAAUAAAAGAGGAAAGCUAUAUUAUACAGAAGCUAACAACAUGCUACAAUUCUUGUAGUAAAAUUUGGCUAAAGCCAUGAAACAGGUUACGAUAACUUACAAGGAAUUCUCAGAGCUAACGAGUACAAGCCUACAAGCUAGUAUUUGGUAAAUCAUCAACACAAGAUUCUACUAAGUUGCAUACGAAGGGACCCCAGGAUCCAGUUUUGGCUGAUACAUUCACCUCCGAGCAUGCGAGGCAUCAU